CCUACGGGUGGCAGCAGUGGGGAAUUUUGCGCAAUGCUCGUAAGAGUGACGCAGCGACGCCGCGUGAAUGACGAAGGCCUUCGGGUCGUAAAGUUCUUUCGACAGGGAAGAAAAUGCCUAUAAGUAACUGUGUAUGUAUUGACGGUACCUGUAUAAGCAGCCCCGGCUAACUCCGUGCCAGCAGCAGCGGUAAUACGGAGGAGGCGGGCGUUGUUCGGAGGGGAUGGGCGUAAAGAGCACGUAGGCGGUGUUGUAAGUCAUUAGUCAAAGACUAGAGCUCAACGUUAGUAAGGCUAGUGAUACUAUAAUACGAGAGUAUCAGAGAGGAUUGCAGAAUUCCUGGUGUAGCGGUGAAAUGCGUAGAUAUCAGGAGGAAUACCGUUAGCGAAGGCGGCAAUCUGGCUGGAAACUGACGCUGAGGUGCGAAAGCGUGGGUAGCAAACAGGAUUAGAUACCCCGGUAGUC
rnacentral:rRNA from 1 species